rnacentral:rRNA from 1 species
UACAGAGGGUGCAAGCGUUGCUCGGAUUUACUGGGCGUAAAGCGUACGCAGACGGAUCGUCAAGUCAGGAGUGAAAGCCCUGGGCUCAACCCAGGAACGGCUUUUGAUACUAGCGGUCUUGAGUUUGGGAGAGGGAAGCGGAAUUCCUGGUGUAGAGGUGAAAUUCGUAGAUAUCAGGAGGAACACCGGCGGCGAAGGCGGCUUCCUGGCCCAAUACUGACGUUCAGGUACGAAAGCGUGGGUAGCAAACAGGAUUAGAUACCCUGGUAGUCCACGCUGUAAACGAUGAGUGCUGGAUGUCGGAGGUAUUCACCCCUUCGGUAUCGAAGCUAACGCGUUAAGCACUCCGCCUGGGGAGUACGGCCGCAAGGUUGAA